GAGUUUGAUCGUGGCUCAGGAUGAACGCUGGCGGCGUGCCUAACACAUGCAAGUCGAACGAAGCAAUCGGGAUGAAGUUUUCGGAUGGAUUCCUGGUUGACUGAGUGGCGGACGGGUGAGUAACGCGUGGAUAACCUGCCUCACACUGGGGGAUAACAGUUAGAAAUGGCUGCUAAUACCGCAUAAGCGCACAGUACCGCAUGGUACGGUGUGAAAAACCCAGGUGGUGUGAGAUGGAUCCGCGUCUGAUUAGCCAGUUGCGGGUAACGGCCACCAAAGCGACGAUCAGUAGCCGACCUGAGAGGGUGACCGGCCACAUUGGGACUGAGACACGGCCCAAACUCCUACGGGAGCAGCAGUGGGGAAUA
rnacentral:rRNA from 1 species